rnacentral:SRP_RNA from 1 species
GCACUAGUCGGGGAGAUAGCGGUGCCCUGUAACCCGCAAUCCGCUACAGCGGGGGUGAAUUCCCAACCGAGGGUGCAGAAUGUGCCGUCUGACCCAUAUAAGCGGCGUUGAUGAUUUGGUCUUGCGCAACAAGGCUCUGUGAACCGUGUCAGGUGGGGAACCAAGCAGCACUAAGCAGUCCACCUUGUGUGCCGCGAGGUAGCCGUUUCUGAGCUGGCUGUAUGGGUAACGGGUG